CAUGAUCUAUAAAAUCAUUAUCAGAAGAAUAUUAAUAGUUGAUUGAUUUACUUUUAUUUAGUCAAAAGCAUAAUUUGGUACGUACCUGAAUUGGGAUAACGACCAAGCUUGGCUCUCCUCUUGAGGAUAACUAAAACAAUGACUAAGAUUGAUGCUGCAACUGAUGCAAUAACCAUGGUCUUCUUCUUCGUCUUCUUCUUGUUUGUGGUUGCGCAUGAAGCAGAGGAACAUAUCCCAGGAUUUCCUUCGAUGCUAGAGUUUUUUCACGGAGUUAACACCAGACCACAUGUAAUCCCGCGGUACGCAUGGAUCUCCUUGCCAGUCAACCUUAUUGAUGCCGCAACUCAACUUGAUGUUUAUCAUCGUAUCAACUGAUUACCAUUUUGCUUAGAGUUCACCAUGUAGACCUCCAUGGCGUUGAGCAGAGGAGGCAGUGUGGAACUCGCAGUCUUUUGAAGCGAAAAUGUGCACUGUCCAUUUGCGUUCGGACCGAGUUCAUCUGGGAAAAAGGAACUAGCAGGCCAGUGCCUCUUAUAAGGCAGCUAAAGCAUUAGCUUUAGGCCACAAUUUUUUUUUUUUUAAAAAAUAGGCCACAUCUUCUAUUUUAUAUACAGUACUUUUCAUUUUAUUUAGCUUGAUAUAAAACCACGAAUACUUGUUAACAAAUCUUCUUUUUUAUUUCUUCCUUCAUAUUUUUUUUUAAAAUUUAAUCUUCUUCUUUAUUUCUUUACUUAGUAUGGAAAAAUCUUAAAUCUUGUUAACAAGUUGAUUAAUAAUUAGUUAUAAAGUGCUUUUGAAUUGAAUUUUAGAAUAACAAUGGUUGUUGGCGGGUGGUAUUUAUGAAAUUAUUUAUGUUCGGAGAUCGAACUUCUAAAAAUGGCACUACAAGCAGAAGUUAAAAGAGUUGCUGAAAUAUUGAACUCUAUGAAAGUAAUGGGAGAUUUUAUUAUAACUCAUGGAUUGUUUAUCAAAUAUGUUAGCAAUUCUUUUUCAAAAAAAUAUAUGUUAGCAAUUCCAGUUUAGGUUGCUUCUGCAGAAUUUGUUUUUAAAGUUGAAGUUGGUAAAAAUA